rnacentral:lncRNA from 1 species
AUGGGACAGAAAUAGCUUUGGAAAAACAAUUGACUGAAAUGCCAACUGCAAGUGACUUUUGAAAUGAUAUUUGUUCUAAAUGCGGAAAAUUGAAGGCUUCCUCUACAUGUGAAUAAGUAAGUCUUGGCAGUAUUACUUGGCAGUACUACUGCUGGAGAUUUUUCUAGACCAACGCUUUAUGGUUGGGCUCUGCUGGCCUUCGAACUUUGCCUUGAUGGCUGUCAGAUGAUUUCUGACACAAGCAAAUCCAAACUAUCAGAGAAUCAUUUCACCCUGGUUCACAAAGCUGCACACCUCUAGCUGUAAUCUCAUGUGAAUGAUGGCACUGAACUUGAAAGUUUUGUAUGCAAGAAGGUUAAUGAGAAAAUUGAAACUCCAAAAAAUCUUGUUUGGAGAGCUGGUAGUGACAACACCCGAUUUUGCUUUACUACAGUAUACAAGCUGGAUUAUAGAUCUUCUGCAUUUGGUAGAGUAACUCAUGCCAGUCUGAAUGCACACGGGUAUACUGAAACCUUUCCAUCAGGAGUCAAAGUGAUCCUGUCAGCUUAAACUGAUGGGAAAAACUUCCAUGCAGAAGGUUAUAAGGUCGGGUUAAGAUUUGAACUGGAAGCU